AUGCUUACCUGGCAGGGCAUGAUCAAGAAGGUGGUUCACCCAGGGCGAGGCUCAGUCAUUGCACUGCGACUGUGCUGACCACUGCGAAUUCCCCAAAUGUGGGAAUCUCGAUUGCAUAAUUUGUGAUAGUGGGGGACUGCGUUCACGCACUCCCCUG
ensembl:snRNA U1 U1 spliceosomal RNA